CAGGAUCAUAUACACGACAGAUCAUCUGAGAUAAGUCACUGAUCUAUUGGUGUCUGAAGUGUGAUGUGAGGAUCUAUGUUUAGAUGCCCAUUUGAUACUCUGAGCUUGACUUCACUGGAAGGCCGAGCUUUGCCUAGAGCAGGAAAAUUUGCCCUUUGCUACUAGCGAGAAAUAAAAGGGAUAUCUUCAAUUUUAUACUCUCAAAUCUGUAGGUUUAUUGGUAUAAGCAAAUUUUUCAGUUAAGCCUUGUGCUUCUAAGAAAGGCAUUUAAAAGCAGCCCAGCAGGGCAUCUCUGGAUAGGUUAGCCUGCUCUAACUCCACUGUCUCAUUAAAACCAGAGGGUACAGCAAAGCCUUGGGAUUGCCCGCCUGGCUCACUUCCCCGGGCAGCCUUUCCCUCUAGGGCUCAUACGCCCCCUGCUGGACUCCCACCAAACCUAGUGUCCGGCAACUGCCAAUGGGAGGGCCGCACGAGUCCUGGUCUGACCUGGGUAUUACUA